rnacentral:rRNA from 1 species
GAAUGCUGACAUAAGUAACGAUAAAGCGGGUGAAAAGCCCGCUCGCCGGAAGACCAAGGGUUCCUGUCCAACGUUAAUCGGGGCAGGGUGAGUCGACCCCUAAGGCGAGGCCGAAAGGCGUAGUCGAUGGGAAACGGGUUAAUAUUCCCGUACUUGGUGUUACUGCGAAGGGGGGACGGAGAAGGCUAUGUUGGCCGGGCGACGGUUGUCCCGGUUUAAGCGUGCAGGUGUGUGUUCCAGGUAAAUCCGGUU